rnacentral:rRNA from 1 species
UACGGAGGGUGCAAGCGUUAUCCGGAUUCACUGGGUUUAAAGGGUGCGCAGGCGGCGUCGCAAGUCAGGCGUGAAAUCCCCGGGCUUAACCUGGGAACUGCACUUGAAACUACGAUGCUGGAGUAUGGCAGAGGGAGGUGGAAUUCCACGUGUAGCGGUGAAAUGCGUAGAGAUGUGGAGGAACACCGAUGGCGAAGGCAGCCUCCUGGGCCAAUACUGACGCUCAUGCACGAAAGCGUGGGGAGCAAACAGG